GGCGCUUUGGCAGUGUGGUUAGCUGGUUGUGUAGUUUUUAAUAUCACAGCCACUAUCUUCACUGCCGCCGCGAC
rfam:Stomoxys calcitrans breed 8C7A2A5H3J4 unplaced genomic scaffold Scaffold123, whole genome shotgun sequence.